UGUGAAAACUUUGUCGCUGUCAUGCUACCAGAGAUAAACAUUUUUAGAAAGUUUUACAGCCCUGGAUAAAAUGUGAACAAAUUUAUGGCCAAAUGAAAAUACAAAGAAAUGUAUGUAAUUUUCAACCAAGGCCUUUAUAGCUUUGUUCUGAUGUUAUGAUAUAAUUUAAAUCCUAAAUUCUUAUAAGUUCACCAGAAUUUAACAUUUCAAACUUUUAUAUGUUGUUACUAGCACAAGUUCCUAUCAGCUGUUAGUUUACUUUGACUAAAAUUCUAAAUUUUAAAAAUUUAUGUUGAUUAGAUGGCGGCCAUUAUGGUAAAGGUGUAUAACCCCAAUAUCUUUCCUUAUGUUUCAUUUGGCAGGAAAAGCCUCAUGUUGUACCUGCAGUGGUGCCACCACAUUAUACUUUAUCCGGCCAAGAAAUGGAAAAAGUAAAGAAAGUUCUAAGAAGUGAACUGUGACAGAUAUGUAGAACACGUUGUGUUGGAGUUUCACAGCAUUCUAUGUCUGCUCAACAAAAUAUUGCCUACUUUUUUGAACAUGAAUUUAGUUCUAUGUCUCUUGAGUAAGAACAAACGCUUAUGCAACCCUACAUGUACCACUAGCAAACUACGCCACAAAUAGUUUAUACUUUUGGAUAUCAAUCGAUAGCUUUCAAGGUAUUAGUGCAAAAUUGCAUGAUCCACUGUUGAAAAUUUCCUCAGAGAAAAGACGCAGAUGGCAAAUAUACAAUUUCUGUCAUUAUCAACUUUGGCAAUGGGCUUGAAUAAAAAUAUUUGACUUCACUUCA